rnacentral:rRNA from 1 species
UCCUGAAACCGUGUGCCUACAAUCCGUCGGAGCCUCCUUGUGGGGUGACGGCGUGCCUUUUGAAGAAUGAGCCUGCGAGUUAGUGCUCGGUGGCGAGGUUAACCCGUGUGGGGAAGCCGUAGCGAAAGCGAGUCCGAAUAGGGCGAAUGAGUCGCCGGGUCUAGACCCGAAGCGGAGUGAUCUACCCAUGGCCAGGUUGAAGCGCAGGUAAGACUGCGUGGAGGACCGAACCCACUUAGGUUGAAAACUGAGGGGAUGAGCUGUGGGUAGGGGUGAAAGGCCAAUCAAACUCCGUGAUAGCUGGUUCUCCCCGAAAUGCAUUUAGGUGCAGCGUCACGUGUUUCUUACCGGAGGUAGAGCUACUGGAUAGCCGAUGGGCCUCACCAGGUUACUGACGUUAGCCAAACUCCGAAUGCCGGUAAGUGAGAGCGUGGCAGUGAGACUGCGGGGGAUAAGCUCCGUAGUCGAGAGGGAAACAGCCCAGAUCACCAGCUAAGGUCCCUAAGCGUGUGCUAAGUGGGAAAGGAUGUGGAGUUGCAUUGACAACCAGGAGGUUGGCUUAGAAGCAGCCACCCUUUAAAGAGUGCGUAAUAGCUCACUGGUCAAGUGAUUCCGCGCCGACAAUGUAGCGGGGCUCAGGCACACCACCGAAGCUGUGGCAUUGACACAUAGCCCGGCCGUGAUAUCUGAGGACUCACGGUCCAAGCGUGUUGAUGGGUAGGGGAGCGUCGUGUAGCCAGGGAAGCGGCGGAGUGAUCCAGCCGUGGAGGCUACACGAGUGAGAAUGCAGGCAUGAGUAGCGAAUGACGGGCGAGAAACCCGUCCGCCGAAUAACCAAGGGUUCCAGGGUCAAGCUAAUCUGCCCUGGGUAAGUCGGGACCUAAGGCGAGGCCGACAGGCGUAGUCGAUGGACAUCCGGUUGAUAUUCCGGAACCGGCGAAGAACCGCCCAUACCGAACCACGUAAUGCUAAGCGCCUGAAGGGCUGGUGAGUCUUCGGACAAUCCGGCCUGGAGCGCGCGACCCGAGCGUGUAGUAGGUAAGCGAUGGAGGGACGCAGGAAGGUAGCCGAACCGCGGCGAUGGUAGACCGCGGGUAAGGAUGUAGGGCGAGGUGUAGGCAAAUCCGCACCUCAUAUGCCUGAGAUCUGAUACGGACGCAUUAGCGGAAGUCGGUAAUCCUAUGCUGCCAAGAAAAUCUUCUAGCGAGGUUCGAGCCGCCCGUACCCCAAACCGACUCAGGUGGUUAGGUAGAGAAUACCAAGGCGAUCGAGUGAGUCGUGGUUAAGGAACUCGGCAAAAUACCCCCGUAACUUCAGGAGAAGGGGGGCCCAGAGGGUGACGGAGACUAGCGCUCCUGAGCCUGAACGGCCGCAGAGACCAGGGAGAAGCGACUGUUUACUAAAAACACAGGUCCGUGCCAAGUCGCAAGACGAUGUAUACGGACUGACGCCUGCCCGGUGCUGGAACGUUAAGGGGACCGGUUAGCCUCACGGCGAAGCUGAGAACUUAAGCGCCAGUAAACGGCGGUGGUAACUAUAACCAUCCUAAGGUAGCGAAAUUCCUUGUCGGGUAAGUUCCGACCUGCACGAAUGGCGUAACGACUUCUCCACUGUCUCAACCACGAACUCGGCGAAAUUGCACUACGAGUAAAGAUGCUCGUUACGCGCAGAAGGACGGAAAGACCCCGGGACCUUUACUACAGCUUGGUAUUGGUGUUU